rnacentral:rRNA from 1 species
GACGAACGCUGGCGGCGUGCUUAACACAUGCAAGUCGAACGAUGAUGCUGGAGCUUGCUCCAGUUGAUUAGUGGCGAACGGGUGAGUAACACGUGAGCAAUCUGCCCUUGACUCUGGGAUAACUGCGGGAAACUGUAGCUAAUACCGGAUACUUUCACCGGGGGGCAUCCUCUGGUGAUGAAAGAAUUUCGGUCAAGGAUGAGCUCGCGGCCUAUCAGCUUGUUGGUGAGGUAACGGCUCACCAAGGCGACGACGGGUAACCGGCCUGAGAGGGUGACCGGUCACACUGGGACUGGGACAAGGCCCAGACUCAUACGGGAGGCAGCAGUGGGGAAUAUUGCACAAUGGGCGCAAGCCUGAUGCAGCAACGCCGCGUGAGGGAUGAAGGCCUUCGGGUUGUAAACCUCUUUUAGCAGGGAAGAAGCGAAAGUGACGGUACCUGCAGAAAAAGCACCGGCUAACUACGUGCCAGCCGCCGCCGUAA